ensembl:lncRNA
AUGGCGCCGAGGAUGGUCGCCCUGGUGCUAACGUGCGUCGUGUUUUGUUUGUUUUUGUCUGUUAAUUGUGUGUCAGUGUGCUCUUACACCCGUGAAGAGCUUCUAAGUGUCAGAUCAUCAACACCAACGGACCUACUUCCAGUUUUUUUAGUGAGUGUGGCGGAUUUGGUCCACUUUUUUAUUAAGAAAGUGAGACGCCGUAGAAGAGGUAAACGUGCGGGAGUGCUCAUGCGUCUAAGGAGACGCGGCUCACGUACGCCCUUACCUGGGAUCUUCCUCUCAAAUGUCCGCUCACUCAGUAACAAGACGGAUGAACUGGCGUUGCUGAUGAGACGGAACAGAGACUUUUCUUCCUCUUCUGUCUUGUGCUUUACGGAAACAUGGCUCAGCGAGCAGAUCCCGGACUGCGCGCUCCAUUUGGAGGGAUUCCAGCUCAUCCGCGCCGACAGACAGCAGGUCUUAUCCGGAGGAAAGACAAAAGGUGGAGGUGUCUGCUUCUACAUCAACAAUGCCUGGUGUUCGGACGUGACUGUGAUUUCCCAGCACUGUUCUCCUGCCCUGGAAUUCCUCUUCAUAAACUGUAAGCCAUUCUACUCCCCACGUGAGUUCGCUUCAUUCAUUCUGGCCGUUGUUUACAUCCCGCCGUGCGCGGACGUGCGCGAGGCACAACGUGCGCUCGCGGAGCAGAUCCUAAGUGUGGAACAGACCUUUCCGGACUCUCUAGUUAUUAUCCUCGGGGACUUUAACAAGACAAAUCUGAGCCAGGAAUUGCCUAAGUACAGACAGUUUGUUAAAUGCCCGACAAGAGAGCAGAACACGCUGGACCACUGCUACACCACAGUCAGUGGAGCUUAUCAAGCCGUGCAGCGUGCUGCUCUCGGCUUCUCAGACCACGCCAUGAUUCACCUCAUCCCCUCAUAUAGGCAGAGGCUGAAGCUCUCCAAGCCUGCAGUGAGGACUACUAAAAAGUGGACCUGCGAGGCUGUGGAGGAGCUUCGCGUGUGUCUGGACACAACAGACUGGAACGUGUUUGGAUCUGCCACAGACAACUUGGAUGAAUAUACAGACACUGUGACAUCAUACAUAAAAUUCUGUGAGGACAGCAUUAUUCCAACUAAAACCAGGGCCACUUUUAACAACGAUAAGCCCUGGUUCACACCCAAACUGAGGGAGCUGAGGAGGGAGAAAGAAGCAGCUCACAGAGCUAAGGACAGAGAGAGCUACAAGGGCGCUAAGUACAGGUUCUCAAAAGAGUUGAAGAAGGCGAGAUCUCUGUACAACAAGCGACUAAAGGAGCAGUUCUCUAACAAUGACUCCGCCUCUGUCUGGAGAGGGCUCAGGCAAAUCACAAACUACAAGCCCAGAGCCCAACAUGCUGCUGACGACCUACAACUGGCUGAA